UUUCUAGCUUGCUAGAAGAUGACGAGUGGCGGACGGGUGAGUAAUGCUUGGGAACUUGCCUUUGCGAGGGGGAUAACAGUUGGAAACGACUGCUAAUACCGCAUAAUGUCUACGGACCAAACGGGGCUUCGGCUCCGGCGCAAAGAGAGGCCCAAGUGAGAUUAGCUAGUUGGUAAGGUAACGGCUUACCAAGGCGACGAUCUCUAGCUGUUCUGAGAGGAAGAUCAGCCACACUGGGACUGAGACACGGCCCAGACUCCUACGGGAGGCAGCAGUGGGGAAUAUUGCACAAUGGGGGAAACCCUGAUGCAGCCAUGCCGCGUGUGUGAAGAAGGCCUUCGGGUUGUAAAGCACUUUCAGUUGUGAGGAAAAGUUAGUAGUUAAU
rnacentral:rRNA from 1 species